UCUUCCGUAGUAUAGUGGUCAUAGUGGUCAGUAUGCAAGCUUGUCACGCUUGAGACCCGGGUUCAAUUCCCGGCGGGAGAG
rnacentral:tRNA from 1 species